rnacentral:tRNA from 2 species
GCCGAUGUAGCUCAGCUGGUAGAGCAGACGAUUCGUAAUCGUCAGGUCAGCGGUUCGAGUCCGCUCAUCGGCUCCA